UUUACUUUCCCAGUGUACUGAAUACCCGCACCGCCAGGCGCCAGCAAAGGUGAAAACGGUCAACAUAUUUAAAUUACGCUUAAAAUCAGGCUAGGGUUUCAAAGUCCCCUCCUUGCCUCGUUCUAUAUAGGCCUCCUUUGUCUCGCCGCCAGCGGGCAGUGGUAAGAAAUGUCUUAAGAAUGAGUUGAUAACUAAUUGAAGAAACAUGAGCGCCACAAGGUUGGGGAAGGAGUAGAGCUGGAACAAAGGGAAACUGCACGGGAGUAUGGGUUGAAAAUUAUCAAAGAGGGUAUUGGCUGCCAUCAUUGUAAACCAUAAUCUAUUUGGAGAAUGGUUUUCUUGACAUUAAUAUCUAUGAACCUUUUAGUCGAGGGGAAGAAAAUUAGCAAAAUGUUUAGCGAUAUUUAGUCAGCAUAAAUGCUUAAACUGUUUUGGUGUAAAAUAUCCAGGUCCCAACCUGAUGAACCCAUCGACUUUCUAACUGUAUAUUUCAUAUAUUGCAUCAUCAGUCCGAUCCUGCAUGCUUCCAAACCUA